rnacentral:tRNA from 1 species
GCCCCCGUAGCUCAGCGGAUAGAGCACCGGCCUCCGGAGCCGGGUGCGCAGGUUCGAGUCCUGCCGGGGGCG